GGGAGGAGCUCCUUCAACCAGCCAUGCAGUCUGGCAAGCGGCCACACUCACCGAUCCUCGUUAAACCUCCUGCGUUGCUUUGCUGUCAUUAAUGUUCAGCACGCAACCAGGCAAUCAAUCUUGGUCAGAGGGCUCUUUGAAGUGGGCAGAAUUUGAAGUGCCCCUCUCUCCCCCGGGACUGCUCCUGUUUCUGGGUGACAGUGAUGGGGAGGAACGCUGCCACCGCUUCAGAGCCAGUCUGGACCCCCUGCUGGUCUCCAUUACGGUCAGCAAAAGGGAGAGGCAGAACUCGGGGAGGGACAAACACGGGAGAACCAGUCAUCUGCAGAGAUUAGACAUUUGACUUUGAUUGUGAUACAACGACUGAGUGCAAUGCAAAAGUAUUGAUGCACCUUAUUUGUCACUGAAUUAAAAUGCAAUCGCAGCUUCAAGUCUUUUUGAGGGUAUGUGUCUACCAAGUUUGCACAUCCAGAGUGAGAUUUCUUUCCAGAACAGCUCUAGCUCACACAGAUAGGAUGGAGAGCAUCAUUUUCCAUUUUCUGGCUACAGAUCCUCAGGUUGAAUUAGGUCUAGACUUUGACAAGGCCAUUCAAGCAAACAAAUGAGCUUUUAUAUAAACCAUAUUCUUGUUGCUCUGGGUGUAUGUUCAGGUGUUCAGGACUGUUAUGCUGCAGCAGUUUUUCCUCCUGAAGAGCCCUGUGUUUUGCCCCAUCCAUGUUUUCAUCAGCUCUGCCUAACUCCCCUGGGUUCAGGAUGACAUGCAUUGCAAGUUUUAUGUCACAAAGUUUAGCUUUAUAUGACCAUAGCACAGUCUUCCACAUUUUUGCUGGCUUUUUCAUGCUCUUCCUGAUUAACUGGAUGCUAGACUCUUUCUAUUUUCAGAUGAUAGACAAUGCUCCAGGAAAUGUUCAAAGCUUGAAUACUGUUUUGUAACCCAAAUCUGCUUUUAAACUCUAUAUAAGUUUGUCUUCCUUGGUGUUCAUAAUACUGUUUUCUGAAUAAGCUAUGGAAACCCUUAGAAUUUGUUGGUGAUAAAACCUGAAAAAAACUCUA